rnacentral:rRNA from 1 species
CAAUGCCGCGUGUGUGAAGAAGGCCUUCGGGUUGUAAAGCACUUUUGUCCGGAAAGAAAACCUCCGCCCUAAUAUGGUGGGGGGAUGACGGUACCGGAAGAAUAAGCACCGGCUAACUACGUGCCAGCAGCCGCGGUAAUACGUAGGGUGCAAGCGUUAAUCGGAAUUACUGGGCGUAAAGCGUGCGCAGGCGGUCCGCUAAGACAGAUGUGAAAUCCCCGGGCUUAACCUGGGAACUGCAUUUGUGACUGGCGGGCUAGAGUAUGGCAGAGGGGGGUAGAAUUCCACGUGUAGCAGUGAAAUGCGUAGAGAUGUGGAGGAAUACCGAUGGCGAAGGCAGCCCCCUGGGCCAAUACUGACGCUCAUGCACGAAAGCGUGGGGAGCAA